rnacentral:rRNA from 1 species
AAUGCGGGACUCUAAGAGGCCCCGUAAUUGGAAUGAGUACACCUUAAAUCGUUUAACGAGUAUCAAUUGGAGGGCAAGUCUGGUGCCAGCAGCCGCGGUAAUUCCAGCUCCAAUAGCGUAUAUUAAAGUUGCUGCAGUUAAAAAGCUCGUAGUUGGAUCUGGGGCUUGAGGUCGCUGUCUAUCGUUUCGGCGAUGACGGUGAUGCUCAGCUCUGCUUGCCGGUGACUGUUGCGGUGUUCUUCACUGAGCGCUGUAGCAGCACGGCACGUUUACUUUGAAAAAAUUAGAGUGCUCAAAGCGUGCUUGUCGCUUGAAUAAUGUUGCAUGGAAUAAUGGAAUAGGACCUCGGUUCUAUUUUGUUGGUUUUCGGAGCUUGAGGUAAUGAUUAAGAGGGACGAAUGGGGGCAUUCGUAUUGCGGUGUUAGAGGUGAAAUUCCUGGAUCGCCGCAAGACGGACUACUGCGAAAGCAUUUGCCAAGAACGCUUUCAUUAAUUAAGAACGAAAGUCAGAGGUUCGAAGACGAUCAGACACCGUCCUAGUUCUGACCAUAAACGAUGCCGACCAGCGAUCCGUAGUGGUUGCUUUAUGGACCCUACGGGCAGCCUCCGGGAAACCAAAGUAUUUGGGUUCCGGGGGAAGUAUGGUUGCAAAGCUGAAACUUAAAGGAAUUGACGGAAGGGCACACCAGGAGUGGAGCCUGCGGCUUAAUUUGACCCAACACGGGAAAACUCACCCGGUCCGGACACCGUAAGGAUUGACAGACUGAUAGCUCUUUCUUGAUUCGGUGGAUGGUGGUGCAUGGCCGUUCUUAGUUGGUGGAGUGAUUUGUCUGGUUAAUUCCGAUAACGAACGAGACUCUAGCCUGCUAAGUAGUGUUGCUAUUGUUAUAUGGUUAACACUUCUUAGAGGGACAAGUGGCAUUUAGCCACGCGAAAUUGAGCAAUAACAGGUCUGUGAUGCCCUUAGAUGUCCGGGGCCGCACGCGCGCUACACUGGAGAAGUCAGCGUGUGUUAUCCAAGUCCGAAAGGACUGGGUAAUCCGUUGAACCUUCUUCGUGCUUGGGACUGUGGCUUGGAACUAUUCCACAUGAACGAGGAAUUCCUAGUAAUUGCAAGUCAUAAGCUUGCGUUGAUUACGUCCCUGCCCUUUGUACACACCGCCCGUCGCUACUACCGAUUGAAUGGUUUAGCAAGGUCCUCGGAUCGUGGCCGUAGGGGCACGCAAGUGUUUCUGCGGUUUGCGAGAAGACGACCAAACUUGAUCAUUUAGA